UGGCCUUGACAUAGUAAGAAUGUAAUAGAGAUAUAAGAGUCAUCGUUUAGUAGAAAUAGCAUAC
rnacentral:rRNA from 1 species